rnacentral:misc_RNA from 1 species
AGUAGACAUCACUUGUAAUAGAAUCUUUGCAAAUAGGCCUCAAGAUUAGUAUAGAGGCCCUCAGACGCCCAUCGACAUGAUUAUUCCCACGGAGGAAUGAUUUGUGUUUGCAAUACCAGGCUUAAGCACUUAUUUACUGACACUGUAGUUUUAAUCCAUCAACACUCCAGACUUGCAACAAGAGGCAAAAUGACAUAGACAGCAGCAGUUUAAAGGAAACAGUGCUGUUGGAAGUUAAAAUGAAUCAUAGGGUUUUCCUGUUCUAAUUUGAUAAUGAUGACAAUAGAAUUUAUAGACUCUAUCAUGGACCUCUUUUCAGCCUCCAAUUGACAACAAAAUUGAAGCACAUGAGACACCAAUUACAGUCCUCAUGUAUCACACCCUUCAUUAAGAUGUGUUGGUCCUACAAACACAAAAAGACAUUGACUUAAGAUGAAGCAUUAAGCUCUGACCAAUUACAUGCAAUGUGUUGCAGUCACAGUAGGAAGCUUAAGCCCUGGUCUGGAGGUCCGUCCUUUACGUUUCCUGUAUUCCUCAAUAAUCUGUAACCGAAUCCUUUCUCGUGAAGCAUCUGGGACAUUCUUAAGUACCUUAGGAACAGCAACCAAUUUUGGUGGAGCUUGGACAACAUAUCCAAAUUUUAUCUGUUCACGUUCAGGAAAGUCCAAAUUCUCCUGUUCUGGACUUUUGGCGUUUUUUCUCCUUUGCUUCCAAAAACCUAAAUUAAUUUAAAAUGUGAUCAUCUAGAUGUUCAAAAAACAUGCCUGAGCUCAGUCUGUGAAAAGGAAGAAUUCAAGAAGAUUGGCAAAUGAUAGAGAUAACAUACUUGUUAUUCAUCAUUAAACAUUUUAUCUCAAUUCUAAAGCAAUUGAAGGCUGAGCAAUGAUGUGACUUUUAUUCACACCAAAACGCAGCCGAGAGAAAACUUUCAACAGUCUUACAACCAUAACAAAACCCUAACGGACGAAGCAAAAUGGAAGGAACAGUUUCAGCAUCACUGCCUCCCCGUUUCUACUUUCUCUUCAGUAGACUUGGAAGGAUUAGCAGAACCUAAAAACACGAAACAAAUCCGCAUAACUAUUUCUGUGCAUAUAUAAAGAUUGAGAGACAGAGAUAACCAUCAAGAAGAUGAGAAGUGAAGGACAUGAUCUGGCGAAGUUUGGAGUGAAGAGCGUCGACUUGGGAGAGGUCGGGUGGCGGCGGGCGACGGGUGCGGCCUCCAUGCGCCGCUACGUAAUUCUUCUCUAUCCUUUUUCUUCCUUUCCCUCCCAUCCCUGUUUCCUUCUCUCUCAAGUCCCAACUCUACUUCCUUUCUUCCUUCGCAGAUGUUGGGCAAUGGCAACGGGGCAAUGGCAAUAUCCGUUCAGCUAAUCUGACGGUCCAUGUUCCAAAAUUCUUU